GAAUGAAUGGUUUAACUAAAUACUCCUGUCUUAUUAUUAUAUUUCAAAUUUUAUAUUUUAGUAAAAAAGCUAAAAUUUAUAUUAAAGACAAGAAGACCCUAUUAAGCUUUAUAAUUAUAAUUUAAUAUCAAUAUAAACUAAAAAUUAUUUUACUGGGGCAGUAAAUAAAAAAAAAUUUUAUUUUUAUAAUAUGAAUACAAUUCUUGAAAAAUCAAAAAAUUUUUAAAAAGGAAUAAGUUACUAUAGGGAUAACAGCAUAAUUUUCUUAAAGAGUCCUUAUCAUCAAGAAAGUUUGUGACCUCGAUGUUGGAUUAAGAUACCUUUUUCAUGCAAUAAUAAAAUUAAGGAAGUCUGUUCGA
rnacentral:rRNA from 1 species